UUUACUCAGUUCCUCAUGUUUUUGCAGUUUUUUGUUAAAGAACUCCACUGGUUGGCAAUUCAUUUGUCAUUGGUCUUGCAUAACUCUUAACGGACUGCAGGAAGCCUAAUGUUUAGAGUUGGUCAGGCUGCUCAGUAUCUUCAAUUCUAUGAGUCAUGGUGUACCAGCACAAUCAGUGGGUGCAUUACUCACAGACAGCACUUGCAUGCAGGUAUGCCAAGAGGGAUCCCAGCUUGCAGUAAGUCACAUUUUUAUAAAUACUGUACUCUUUUAAGUUGCCUCUUUUUAUAUUUGAGAAUAUGAAAUCAAUUCUUCUGUCAUUUCCAUGAACACAUAGAGAUUCUCUUGAGCUUUGGAAG
rnacentral:lncRNA from 1 species